GACGAACGCUGGCGGCGUGCUUAACACAUGCAAGUCGAACGGAAAGGCCCUGCUUUUGUGGGGUGCUCGAGUGGCGAACGGGUGAGUAACACGUGAGUAACCUGCCCUUGACUUUGGGAUAACUUCAGGAAACUGGGGCUAAUACCGGAUAGGAGCUCCUGCUGCAUGGUGGGGGUUGGAAAGUUUCGGCGGUUGGGGAUGGACUCGCGGCUUAUCAGCUUGUUGGUGGGGUAGUGGCUUACCAAGGCUUUGACGGGUAGCCGGCCUGAGAGGGUGACCGGCCACAUUGGGACUGAGAUACGGCCCAGACUCCUACGGGAGGCAGCAGUGGGGAAUAUUGCACAAUGGGCGGGAGCCUGAUGCAGCAACGCCGCGUGCGGGAUGACGGCCUUCGGGUUGUAAACCGCUUUCGCCUGUGACGAAGCGUGAGUGACGGUAAUGGGUAAAGAAGCACCGGCUAACUACGUGCCAGCAGCCGCGGUGAUACGUAGGGUGCGAGCGUUGUCCGGAUUUAUUGGGCGUAAAGGGCUCGUAGGUGGUUGAUCGCGUCGGAAGUGUAAUCUUGGGGCUUAACCCUGAGCGUGCUUUCGAUACGGGUUGACUUGAGGAAGGUAGGGGAGAAUGGAAUUCCUGGUGGAGCGGUGGAAUGCGCAGAUAUCAGGAGGAACACCAGUGGCGAAGGCGGUUCUCUGGGCCUUUCCUGACGCUGAGGAGCGAAAGCGUGGGGAGCGAACAGGCUUAGAUACCCUGGUAGUCCACGCUGUAAACGGUGGGUACUAGGUGUGGGGUCCAUUCCACGGGUUCCGUGCCGUAGCUAACGCUUUAAGUACCCCGCCUGGGGAGUACGGCCGCAAGGCUAAAACUUAAAGGAAUUGACGGGGCCCCGCACAAGCGGCGGAGCAUGCGGAUUAAUUCGAUGCAACGCGUAGAACCUUACCUGGGUUUGACAUGGAUCGGGAGUGCUCAGAGAUGGGUGUGCCUCUUUUGGGGUCGGUUCACAGGUGGUGCAUGGCUGUCGUCAGCUCGUGUCGUGAGAUGUUGGGUUAAGUCCCGCAACGAGCGCAACCCUUGUUCACUGUUGCCAGCACGUUAUGGUGGGGACUCAGUGGAGACCGCCGGGGUCAACUCGGAGGAAGGUGGGGAUGACGUCAAGUCAUCAUGCCCCUUAUGUCCAGGGCUUCACGCAUGCUACAAUGGCUGGUACAGAGAGUGGCGAGCCUGUGAGGGUGAGCGAAUCUCGGAAAGCCGGUCUCAGUUCGGAUUGGGGUCUGCAACUCGACCUCAUGAAGUCGGAGUCGCUAGUAAUCGCAGAUCAGCAACGCUGCGGUGAAUACGUUCCCGGGGCU
rnacentral:rRNA from 1 species